rnacentral:rRNA from 1 species
GACGAACGCUGGCGGCGUGCUUAACACAUGCAAGUCGAACGGAAAGGCCCUGCUUGCAGGGUACUCGAGUGGCGAACGGGUGAGUAACACGUGGGUGAUCUGCCCUGCACUUCGGGAUAAGCCUGGGAAACUGGGUCUAAUACCGGAUAGGAGCCAUUUUUAGUGUGAUGGUUGGAAAGUUUUUUCGGUGUAGGAUGAGCUCGCGGCCUAUCAGCUUGUUGGUGGGGUAAUGGCCUACCAAGGCGGCGACGGGUAGCCGGCCUGAGAGGGUGGACGGCCACAUUGGGACUGGGAUACGGCCCAGACGCCUACGGGAGGCAGCAGGGGGGAAUAUUGCACAAUGGGCGCAAGCCUGAUGCAGCGACGCCGCGUGGGGGAUGACGGCCUUCGGGUUGGAAACUCCUUUCGCUAGGGACGAAGCUUUUUGUGACGGUACCUAGAGAAGAAGCACCGGCUAACUACGUG